UUCAAAUGAAAGAUUCAAUUCCAUCUAGAAACAUGCAUGGUCAAAUAGGUACUAAAAGCUUCAACCAUUAGAGUAAGGACGUACAUUCAAAUUUACGGAUUAAUAUUACAUCUCAAGUUUUUUUUUUUAGGAGACCAAUCUUUUAAUUUACAAAUAAUUUACAUGGUCAAAAGCAAAAGAUAUUAAAACUAGUAUUAUUCUUGACGCGACCCUGAUGGACCUGAAAAUAGAAAUUAACAUGUACACAUAAAUAUAAAAGAUAGUAACAAGUAAUAACAAUGGCAGAUAAUAAUCUCUAUGGAAUUUAUUUUGAUAUAUACAAUUCAUCAUAAACCUCUUUUACAACAUAUAUUUUCCAUCUAUUACCAAUAUUCAUCUAAUAUCCUAUUUCAUUUGCCAAGAAUAAUUCCAUCUUGGAAAUCUCAACACAACUCAACCGUUUGCGAACACCAUCUUCUUAUAAAUCAAUUUUCACUUGAUAACAAAAUAUUCCUUUCUUAGUAUCAUUAGCUUAUCUCAUUCUUUUGGAAUAGCUAAUCAAUAUUUUCCUUUUCUGAAUCUGUUGCUAGAAGGUAAUCGCCGAAACUAAUAAAUCUUAUUAGCAUCAUUUGUCUUCCAAUAUUGGGCUAGACUAAUCAAUUUAAGAAAUACCGGCACCGAUGAAACCUCAUUGAUACCAUUAGCAAUCCACACCUGGAUAGCUAAUCAAUGUCAUUUGAUUCUUCCAUUCGUACCGAACCCCUUUUAUUUUUCUUAUUAACAUCAUAUGCAUUGUAACCACGGUUGCCAAGUAUUAUUUGCAUACAAUCUUAGUUAUCGACACUACAGUCACUAAGCAUCCUUCACAUAACCUUGGUCACUCUCAUCAUAGUGCCAAGUAUCAAUUUAUACCCUUAGCCACCGUCAUUAUGGUGACCAAUUAUCUAUCAAUUCCCUUCUAAUCUCCAAGUAAUUGUGAUUAUGUAAUUUACUCAAUAUCUUAGUCCUAUAUUAAUUAUUUUGCUCAUAACAUUUAGAAUUUACUAUUUCUAACUUCAAUCAAUUAAUUCACAUACUCUUUUCAAAACCUUACUCAUAUCGAUUGCCAAUAAUUCUAGUAAGUUCAUAUAAUUACCCACAUUUUUGUUAACCUUCCUAGAUUACCAGUACAUCUGGUAAUUCCAUACGAAUUACCCAAUAUCCAGUUAACUUCCUUGUUAACCAAUAAACCCGAUAAUUCUCUUAAUUAGCAAAUAAAUUUGGCUAACCCAUCUUGGUUGCCAAAGUCAAUUCGAUAAUUUCAUAUGAAUUUCCCAACAUCCGGCUAACUUCUUUUGUUAGCCAUGUUUAUAAUUUCUUCAUGUGCUUGGUAUAAACAAUUUGUAGUACAUAUAGAUGCACUAAUUGUUUUACAAUCAACCAUAAUCUUAAACCCGAUUAUCCUUUUAAGGCAUAAUUUGUUGAGGUUAACCGUUCACUCACCCCGGUCAUCCACUUCGGAUGCCAUUAGCCGAAGCUAAUCAUUCUUUGUCCCAGCCAUCCAUUCGGAUGCCAUUAGCCGAAGCUAAUCAUCGUCAUUCGGAAUGCCAUUAGCCGAAGCUAAUCAUUCGUUCUCCUAUCAGUCCUCUUCCCGGUCAUCCAUUCGGAUGCCAUUAGCCGAAGCUAAUCAACCAUUGCCAACAUUUAAGCGAACAAGCUAAUAUCGGUUAUAACACAAUAUGGUAAUAUUCAUGUUAAAGUAUUUCAUUAUUCACAUGAAAAAGGAAGGAGUAAGUCACCUACCUAAUGCUUGAACUCGCGCAAAAGUCCCAUGCUACUGAACAAUUUUGCAAUCUCUCUUGUAUACAUAUCAAAUAUGGCUCCACCAUAAUUGAACAUUCCAUUCUAAAAUUCAUUUAAAUUUAGAAUCGCAUGCAUUCACAUAUUUAUUUAUUUAUUUCCUUUCUUUUCAUGACUUGUUUUUCCAGAACUGAGUAUCUUUAAACAUGACCUAACAAUCUUAAUUUAUUUUAUUUUAUUUUGUCUACUCAAUCCCUGUACAGACUUAGUAACAUCACAUCCUUGCAUUUAUUCAUACCAUUGAAACUAAUUCAUUUUCCUUAUCAAACCAACUCUUGGCCGAAUGACCUUAUUUUUUAUUUUCAUGAUGAGUUUUCCAAUUCUUUUUCAUAAGUCCACUUUACUUCAUCUUAACAACAUAUUUUCAUCAUAAUUCCAUGUACGCCUUAAUUUAACCUUUUCCUCCUCUUUUAUUAUCCAUUUGGACAGCGUUAAAAUUCCACAAAAUGACAUUUUCCUCACAUUAUAUUAUUUCAAACAAAUUUUGGCAUUCAACAAACCACAAUCCCAUAAAAAUCCCCAUAACAUUAGGUCGAAUAAACUCAAGUUCAAGAUUUUGGUUGGAUUCCAUAUUAUGAUGAGAAUUUGAAUCUUUUUAAACUCUAACCUAUUUUCUUUAUACAAAUAUAUGUAUCCAUACCUAGUUUUCAUAGAAAAUGAAUCAAAGUCUUAUCUCCUUAUUUCUUCUUCAUUUGGCCGAAUGCCUUCAUUCAUGGUGAGGGAUGAUUCCCUUUUUAAUUAUUCCAUAUAAACCUUUACCAAUUCAUUUCAUAUCUAUUCUAACCUCAUUCAACUCAAAUUCCAUAGCAAUUAAAACAAUUAAGCUCAUCCUCUCAUUUAUAUGUCUAGGCCGAAUCUUUGCAUUAAAUGGAGGAUAAAGUUUUCUUCAAGUUUUUUUUCAAUUACCACUAGACCCAAUCCUUUUUAAUGCCUAAAAACAUAUAUCCAUUAAAUCAACAACUCAAUGUCCCUUCAUCCAAAUUUCAAAACUUCCCUAACACAUUUUACAACAAAUUAAUCUAUAACAACACUAAUAACAAGAGCACAUUUUACCAUUAUAUCUUACAUAAACCUACACCCACACAAUUCUAAUUUCAUCAAAACAUGUAAUUAAAUCAAGCUUCCUAAAUGUUUUACUAAGACUAGCAAUAGAUUCAAAUAGAAACAACUCAUCCACCUUUGAUUAUUUCCUUGAACUCAACGGUCAGAAUAUAUAUCAUUGUGUUGUGUACAAUAUAUCUCAAAAUCAAAUAAUCCAACGGUUGGAUCUCCAUAGAUCUGAAUAAAACCGAACUAACCUGAAAAUGGACGAGCUACUGUUCAACAUGAACCAAACCUUGCCGGAGAGUUGUUUCCGAUCUCCACCGUCCAGAAUGUAGGCCAGAUCUAGGUGCACCACAUAUCCAAAAAUAGGCACGAUCCAACGGUGGAAGAGAGAUAAAUCGGCCGGCGACCAAAACUGCCCUGCAGGUAUAUUUCCUUUUGUUUUCCAGGACACUUCCGAUGAUGAUGGCUGCUCAAUGGAUUAUGUUCCUUCAAAUCCCUCCGGUCAGUUUAUAGAGGAGAGUAAAAGAACAAUAUAUCCAAACAUGAACAUGAUCCAACGGUGGAUUCAAGAGAUAUGGCCACCGAAGCAUUAUUGGUUCAUCCAAAUCCUGCACCUCUAUGUAACUGAAUUCUCUAUUGUCGUCCCUUCAUCCAAAUUUCAAAACUUCCCUGAAAAUGGACGAGCUACUGUUCAACAUGAACCAAACCUUGCCGGAGAGUUGUUUCCGAUCUCCACCGUCCAGAAUGUAGGCCACAUCUAGGUGCACACAUAUCCAAAAAUAGGCACGAUCCAACGGUGGAAGAGAGAGAAAUCGGCCGGCGACCAAAACUGCUGCAGGUAUAUUUCCUUUUGUUUUCCAGGACACUUCCGAUAUGAUGAUGCUGCUCAAUGGAUUAUGUCCUUCAAUCCCUCCGGUCAGUUUAUAGAGGAGUGUGAGAAGAACAAUAUAUCCAAAAAUCAACAUGAUCCAACGGUGGAUGCAAGAGAUAUGGCCACCGAAGCAUUAUUGGUUCAUCCAAAUCCUGCACCUCUAUGUAACCGAAUUCUCUAUUCUCUCACCCCUUUUCGUUUUUCUUUCUCCUUUUUUUUUUUAAUCUGGUGGCCUUUUGCUGUUUUUAAAGGCACCAUUGUUUUACUAAUUACCUUUAUGUCCCUCAUUUAUGUAUUUAUAUAUUAUUUGUUUUUUUUUUCAUGGAAACCAUCCGGUUUGUUUCUGCUUAAAUCGUUAGUCUUUACCAAACUCUCAUUGGGAUGAUAUCUUUCACCAAUGUAGGAAAACAUAUUAAUAGACUUCAUGCAAAAUUCCAUCCCAAUCCGACGAUUGGAUUGAGAGCUCUGCUUUCUAAUGUAAAAUUGGUCAGUUUAUGACUUUUCGUCAACUAUCCAAAUUUUCUUGUUCAAUCUUCACAUAAAAUAAUAUCAAUUAUCCUUCUAAACCUUUAAGGUCAUUUUAUUAUUUUGGAAUAUAUUCAUUUUGUCAUUUCUCUCAUUAUUUUAUUCAUCAAAACACGUUACCAGUUUCUUUGUCUUUAUGAAUUCUAAAACAAAAUUCAUUUUAUGGAGGUCAUCCCCUCCAUUAUAUGUCACUUUCAGUCUUACGUUUACAUGGCAGGUUAUACAUCCGCAUAUUUAAAUCAUAAAUUUUCUAGGGUUUCACAUUCUUCCCUCCUUCAAGAAAUUUCGUCCUCGAAAUUUAGAAUUUCUACUUAUAUUUGUUAAUAUUAUUGGGUACUUUCAGGAUCCAUCAUUCAAGCCUAUUACGAUUAACAUGUAAUUCUUGUCAUUGUCAUAGUUUUCCAAUUUCAUGUUGCACUCCUUACAGUUUAACAACUAUGAUUUAUCUUAGCUAUUUAGUGUUUCAAUAUAGGAAUACUCAUGGUUCCUAUAAUUUCAUACUUAACUACUUGUUCAUACCAUCGUAUUUUCACAUCCUAAUCGUAUUUAGAGCCCACCAAGUAACACUCUGUAACCAUAGUUACUCAACUUUUGCACAGACACUUGUAAUAUUAAGUAUUAACUCCUUAAUCAACGUUUAUUUACGUCUCAUCAUUAAUGCAUAUUAGAUCCCUUCACUCCCUAAAUUCAUCUCUUUUCUAGUUUCCUUAUUAACUAUGUAUUUCUACUACCACGUGUACAUACAUUGCACACUCGUGACCUCCUCAACGACUCUUAUAGGUAGCUUGCCAAUUUAUUUAUUUAUUUAUUAUCGUGUAUGACGGUAACUUAGUGUCUUACUGUUAACCAUAACAUUUCACAACAGGUAUUACAUCCAUGUUCAUGUUUUUAACCAUUUCUCCUUUAUGUCUACAAAGAUAACCACGCCUACGAUCCUUAAUUCAUUCUUGAUUUUUAGGUGGAUUCUCGUAAGGCAACUUAAUAAUGCUUUUAUAACCAAUUUCCAAGUCUUUACCUCAUAUCUACAACCGCCAAAAUAAACUUGUAUUGUCCAUUUUGUUAUGUACCAAACUAGUAUUCCUUUACACUUCAAGAUAAAGUGUUGUCAAUUAGAGCAAGGCCUAAUAUGCAGGUCUCACUGCCAUCUUAACAUAAUUAUUUAUUAAGGCAUUAAUCACAAAACAGUCCUGCCUCUAUCCAUACGCAAUGUCAGAAGUUUGAAUCGAUAGCAUUUACAUCAACACUUGAUUAUGCCUAAUCAAUCAUAUAUUCACUCUAAUAUUAAUUCAUAUAUGGUUUCAUCCCAUCCAUUCAUAUUUCAUCAAGACAACACACACCUUUGUUACAUGAUCAUUUUAUUAAUAUUUCAAAUUUAUUUUGUUCAUGAAUCCUUUACUUCUAUCUAACAUAUUAUCAAACAAUGGUUACACAUUUAUUAUUUGCUACCGAUACCACAAUCACGAAGUAAAAGCUCAUUUCCUAAGUUACCGACUUCUUGACAACCCAAUAUCACUUCUUUAAUUAUCACACUUGUGGUAACCAGGUAUAUAUAUAAAUAUAUACAUGCCUAGUUCAUUCUAUAUCAAGAUACACGAUUCAUUAUACUUUCCAUGCUUAAUAAGUCUACUGAAUCACAACCGCACUCUGAUACCAACUGUAACAACCCCGAUUUUCCACAUCCAAUUUCGCGAUACAUUGGAAAUUUUUCGGGUAAAUUUAUAUAUAUAUAUAUAUAUAUAUAGGUUCCACCAAAAUUUCAGCAAAGUUUCCUCUAUACAAAUAAUUUACAUGGUCAAAAGCAAAAGAUAUUAAAACUAGUAUUAUUCUUGACGCGACCCUGAUGGACCUGAAAAUAGAAAUUAACAUGUACACAUAAAUAUAAAAGAUAGUAACAAGUAAUAACAAUGGCAGAUAAUAAUCUCUAUGGAAUUUAUUUUGAUAUAUACAAUUCAUCAUAAACCUCUUUUACAACAUAUAUUUUCCAUCUAUUACCAAUAUUCAUCUAAUAUCUUAUUUCAUUUGCCAAGAAUAAUUCCAUCUUGGAAAUCUCAACACAACUCAACCGUUUGCGAACACCAUCUUCUUAUAAAUCAAUUUUCACUUGAUAACAAAAUAUUCCUUUCUUAGUAUCAUUAGCUUAUCUCAUUCUUUUGGAAUAACUAAUCAAUAUUUUCCUUGUCUGAAUCUGUUGCUAGAAGGUAAUCGCCGAAACUAAUAAAUCUUAUUAGCAUCAUUUGUCUUCCAAUAUUGGGCUAGACUAAUCAAUUUAAGAAAUACCGGCACCGAUGAAACCUCAUUGAUACCAUUAGCAAUCCACACCUGGAUAGCUAAUCAAUGUCAUUUGAUUCUUCCAUUCGUACCGAACCCCUUUUAUUUUUCUUAUUAACAUCAUAUGCAUUGUAACCACGGUUGCCAAGUAUUAUUUGCAUACAAUCUUAG
rnacentral:lncRNA from 1 species